UACAGAGGUCUCAAGCGUUGUUCGGAUUCAUUGGGCGUAAAGGGUGCGUAGGUGGCAUGGUAAGUCGGAUGUGAAAUCCCGGGGCUCAACCCCGGAACUGCAUUCGAUACUGCUGCGCUAGAGUACUGGAGAGGAGAUUGGAAUUUACGGUGUAGCAGUGAAAUGCGUAGAUAUCGUAAGGAAGACCAGUGGCGAAGGCGGAUCUCUGGACAGUUACUGACACUGAGCAGCGAAGGCCAGGGAGCAAACGGG
rnacentral:rRNA from 1 species